rnacentral:rRNA from 1 species
CCUACGGGAGGCAGCAGUGGGGAAUAUUGGACAAUGGGCGAAAGCCUGAUCCAGCAAUGCCGCGUGAGUGAUGAAGGCCUUAGGGUUGUAAAGCUCUUUUACCAGGGAUGAUAAUGACAGUACCUGGAGAAUAAGCUCCGGCUAACUCCGUGCCAGCAGCCGCGGUAAUACGGAGGGAGCUAGCGUUGUUCGGAAUUACUGGGCGUAAAGCGUACGUAGGCGGUUAUUCAAGUCAGAGGUGAAAGCCUGGAGCUCAACUCCAGAACUGCCUUUGAAACUAGAUAGCUAGAAUCUUGGAGAGGUGAGUGGAAUUCCGAGUGUAGAGGUGAAAUUCGUAGAUAUUCGGAAGAACACCAGUGGCGAAGGCGACUCACUGGACAAGUAUUGACGCUGAGGUACGAAAGCGUGGGGAGCAAACAGGAUUAGAUACCCUGGUAGUCCACGCCGUAAACGAUGAUAACUAGCUGUUCGGGCUCUACGAGCUUGUAGUGGCGCAGCUACGACAUUAAGUUAGUCCGUCCGUCGGGAGGUACGGUCGGCGAAGAAGUUAAACGUUAACUAAAUUAGUUAAGUUAGUUACGGCGUGAGACGUUGCCGAACGGACGACCGACCGAGGGGAGGUUAGG